rnacentral:rRNA from 1 species
UACAGAGGGUGCAAGCGUUGUCCGGAAUCACUGGGCGUAAAGGGCGCGUAGGCGGCCCGAUAAGUAGGGGGUGAAAUCUUGCGGCUCAACCGCAAGGCUGCCUUCUAGACUGUCGGGCUUGAGCACAGUAGAGGCAGGUGGAAUUCCCGGUGUAGCGGUGGAAUGCGUAGAGAUCGGGAAGAACAUCGGUGGCGAAGGCGGCCUGCUGGGCCAAUACUGACGCUGAGGUGCGAAAGCGUGGGGAGCAAACAGG